GAACACAUGACCAAACCUCGCAGCUUAAAACAGCACAGAGUCUCGCUGUAUCACCCAGGCUGGAGUGCAGCAGUACAAUCAUGGCUCACUGCAGCUUCGAUCUCCUGGGCUCAAGCGAGCCUCCCUCCUCGACCUCCUAAACAGCUGGGACUACAGACUCAUGUCACCACAGCCACCUAAAUUGUUACAUUUUUUGUAGAGAUGGGGUCUCACUAUGUUGCCCAGGCUGGUCUCCAACUCUUGUCCUCAAGUGAUCCUCCCACCUUGGCCUUCCAAAGUGCUGGGAUUACAGGCAUGAGCCACCGUGCCCAGCCAGUCUUGAAACUCUUAAGACCUUUUCAACAAGGGGUCCUGCAUUUUCACUUUGCACUGGGCCUCACAAAUCAUGGAGUUGGCCUUGUCUACUGCUCAUGGUGCUAUAGCCACUUUUCCUACGAGGCCAGAGGCUUCUUGGUUUCCCAUAUAUUUAUGACCUUAGGGAAAAAAAGACCUCAAGAUGCAAAAUCAUUCACCAGGGAGCAGACCAUCAUGGAAUUAGACUGCAUUCAAACGUCCCUCCUGCCCCAAUAGAGAUGAGAGGUUUCUAUGUUGCCUAGGCUGGCCUCGAACACCUAGCCUUGCCUCCUUAUGCACCAGGACAGUAGGCCCGAGCCACCGCCGCUCCUGAUUUUGUCUCUGUUUAAGAGUUACUAAUUAAUUGAAACACAAUGUAAAAUAUGCUAAUUGAAACAUAAUGUAAAAUAUGUUAAAUGUCAUAAAAAUAAGCUUCUUUUCCUUUUUUUUUUUUUUUUUUGAGACAAGUUCUCACUGUGUCACUCAGGCUAGAGUGCAGUGACAUGAUCACCGCUCACUGCAGCCUCGACCUCCUGGGCUCAAGUAAUGCUUCCACCUCAGCCUCCUGAGUAGUUGCGACUAUAGGCAUGACCCACCAUGCCUACCUAAUUUUUGUAGGUUUUUGUUUUUGUUUGUAGAGACAGGGUUUCACCAUGUUGCCCAGGCCAGUGUUGAACUCUGGGCUCAAGCAAUCCUCCUGCCUCAGCCUCCCAAAGUGCAGGGGUUACAGGCAUGAGCCACCAUGCCCAGCCUGUUAUUUUUCAAGAUAGCUUCACAAUCAAGCCUGUUCUCUUACUCCCAUUUAUUAUGACAUUUUCAUUCUUAUGGGUUUAGUUAAGUGGUCUUUCCCACUUCUAUUUUUUAAAUUGUUUUUAUGGUGGUAAAGUAUGUAUAACAUAAGAUUUGUAAUUUUAAUUGUUUUUUAACAUGUAAUUCAGUGGAAUUAAUCACAUUCACAAUGGCAUGUGAUCAUUGCCUCUACCUAUUUAGAAAACUUUUUCAUUAUCUCAAAAUAAACUUCAUACCCAUUGUACAGUAAUGC